rnacentral:rRNA from 1 species
GAUGAACGCUGGCGGCGUGCUUAACACAUGCAAGUCGAACGAGAAGUGAAGACGGAAACCUUCGGGCGGAAGGCUUUAUUUCGAGUGGCGGACGGGUGAGUAACGCGUGGGUAACCUGCCUCAUACAGGGGGAUAACAGUUGGAAACGACUGUUAAUACCGCAUAAGACCACAGCACCGCAUGGUGCGGGGGUAAAAACUCCGGUGGUAUGAGAUGGACCCGCGUUCGAUUAGCCAGUUGGCGGGGUAACGGCCCACCAAAGCGACGAUCGAUAGCCGAUCUGAGAGGAUGACCGGCCACAUUGGGACUGAGACACGGCCCAAACUCCUACGGGAGGCAGCGGUGGGGAAUAUUGCACAAUGGGGGAAACCCUGAUGCAGCGACGCCGCGUGAGUGAAGAAGUAUUUCGGUAUGUAAAGCUCUAUCAGCAGGGAAGAAAAUGACGGUACCUGAGUAAGAAGCCCCGGCUAACUACGUG